AUUGAACGCUGGCGGCAUGCCUUACACAUGCAAGUCGAACGGCAGCACGGGGCAACCUGGUGGCGAGUGGGAACGGGUGAGUAAUGCAUCGGAACGUACCUUUCAGUGGGGGAUAACGUAGCGAAAGUUACGCUAAUACCGCAUAUUCUGUGAGCAGGAAAGCAGGGGAUCGCAAGACCUUGCGCUGAUUGAGCGGCCGAUGUCAGAUUAGCUAGUUGGUGAGGUAAAGGCUCCCCAAGGCGACGAUCUGUAGCGGGUCGGAGAGGAUGAUCCCCCACACUGUAACUGAGACACGGUCCAGACUCCUACGGGAGGCAGCAGUGGGGAAUUUUGGACAAUGGGGGCAACCCUGAUCCAGCCAUGCCGCGUGAGUGAAGAAGGCCUUCGGGUUGUAAAGCUCUUUCGGCCGGGAAGAAAUCGCACGGGCUAAUACCCUGUGUGGAUGACGGUACCGGAAUAAGAAGCACCGGCUAACUACGUGCCAGCCGCCGCCGUAAUAC
rnacentral:rRNA from 1 species